UGGCUAUGAGGAUAAAAACUUACUAUGACAUGGCUAAAGCUAUGACAUUCUGAUUCAUAAUACGCUAUUCUGAGCCAUGA
rfam:Salmo salar isolate Sally breed double haploid chromosome ssa29, whole genome shotgun sequence.